rnacentral:lncRNA from 1 species
AUAAUUUUCUUGUGUCUUACAUUUUUUUCUCUUAUUUUAUAUAAGAUGCUAUGUGAGCUGGUCAGAGAUUAUAAAAAUAAUUUUUAUAAAAUUAGUGCAAAAAAUUUAGAUUUAAUUUCAAAAUUAGUGUAUUGUUAUAUUUUAUGUUGUUAGAAUAUUUUAUUUUGUUCUUUUAAUUGGAGAACGCUGUAUAAGCCUACUUUUUUUAGUUUUUGUUCCUUUCAGUUUUUAUAAUGAAAAUAAGUAAAUAUUGAUUGAGCCCAUUUAUUUAGGUGAGUACUAGGGGGGCUUCCUAAAUCAUGAGGAUGUUUUUAUAUAUAAAUAUAGCAAACAAACAUGACAGUGCUUUCUGUGUCACAGAUGCUUUAUAAUAAGCCAUAAAUAUUCCUGUUGGAGUUAGUUUGUAACUUCAAGACAGAGAUGGAACAUAUCAAUUGUGAGAAAUAACAUUGAUUUUUUAUGUGGAGAGGACAUUUAUUUUCAGGCUGCAAAGCUCAGUUUUGCUGAAUUAAAAAAUUGUGCUUCUUUUAUUUCCUAAUUGUCUUAGUUUUGUUUGUCUUAUUAUGUGUAUUUCAGCUGUGUAUGCAUCACAGCCCUCCUUUUUGCUGUGCUGUGGCUACAGUUUUCUCACUGUUCUCUUCACACCAUGUCAUUUCACAUGGUAUAUUGUAGGUUUUGAUGAGAAAUCGGUAUUUUUAAUGCACUGCAAGAUUGGUUUUAACUGGAGAUUUUGCAUAUCAAUAUAAUUUUCUGAUCAGUUAAAUUAAAACAAAAAGCAUACAGUGUCCACAGAUGAAAGGAUUAAAUCAUUUAGCGUUGUUUUUCUCUGUUUGUUAAAGAAUAAUCUUAUUAAAUUCUUACACAAAGUGUGGCAAAUAUAAAAUUUGCUUGAAAAUAUAUCUUAGAAAUUAAACUUUUAAUUUAAUUUUCUACAGUAUACUUAUGCCACAAUGUACGUUUCCAUGCAAAAUCUUCUAUUUGUAAGUGUGAACAUUAAACAUUGCAAAAUAGUAAAAUGACCUCUGUGAUUUUGAAACCUGGAGUAAUAUUUCUUUUCCAUAUUCAUAUUACAAUUUGAAGAAAUUUUCUCAGUUUUAUAUGUUUUUUUAGUGGGUGAAGUUCAGUCUACAGUUUUUACAUUUAGUCACCUAACUCUAGCCAACUUCUUGGUCAUAUUCUCUGGAAAACAUUCGAAGAUCAUGGCAGCUUUUAGAUAAAAACAUUUUCUAUUAUUUUGCGUGCAAACUUGUUUACUGUGUUCACAGAGUGGCCAGUCAUGAGACCAUAAGAAACAGCUGCCCUUUUAGUGUCUUUCAUACCGUCUGUAAUAUAUAAAUUGUGCAUUUAUUCUGUGAAGCAUGACAUUUUGAAGUAUAUACACAUUGUCAAAUGCUUCAUUCUAGGUAAUUAAUGCUUUACCUAACAUAGUUAACAUUUUUGUGGUAAGAGCACAUGACAAUGUUUUAGCAUUUUUCAGAAAUACAAAUACAUUGUUAUGAACUAUAGGCACCAUGCAGUACAAAAGCUUUUUUGAACUUAUUUCUCCUAUUCAACUGUAAUUAUGUAUUUGACUGACAUCUUUCUAAACCCCUCUUUUUUCCAAAUAUGUUGGCAUCUGGUGGUCACCAUUUUAUUCUCCACUUCAGUUAGAUUAAUUUUUCUAGAAUCAUGUAAGUGAAAUAAUUUGGUUAAUCUAUGUAAUUGAAAAUAAUAAAUUUUUUUAUUUUAAA